rnacentral:lncRNA from 1 species
AUGUGGAGACUAUAUACAGGGGGUACCGGUACAGAGUCAAUGUGGAGGCUAUAUACAGGAGGUACCAGUACAGAGUCAAUGUGGAGACUAUAUGGAGGGUAUUACGGAACAGAGUCAAUGUGGAGACUAUAUACAGGGUAUUACGGUACAGAGUCAAUAUGGAGACUAUAUACAGGGUAUUACGGAACAGAGUCAUUGUGGAGACUAUAUACAGGGUAUUACGGUACAGAGUCAAUGUGGAGACUAUAUACAGGGUAUUACGGAACAGAGUCAAUGUGGAGACUAUAUACAGGGUAUUACGGUGCAGAGUCAAUGUGGAGGCUAUAUACAGGGUAUUACGGUACAGAGUCAAUGUGGAGACUAUAUACAGGGUAUUACGGUACAGAGUCAAUGUGGAGGCUAUAUACAGGGUACUACGGUACAGAGUUAUUGUGGAGGCUAUGUACAGGGUAUUACGGUACAGAGUCAAUGUGGAGACUAUAUACAGGGUAUUACGGUACAGAGUCAAUGUGGAGGCUAUAUACAGGGUAUUACGGUACAGAGUCAAUGUGGAGGCUAUAUACAGGGGGUACCAGUACAGAGUCAAUGUGGAGGCUAUAUACAGGGUAUUACGGUACAGAGUCAAUGUGGAGACUAUAUACAGGGUAUUACGGUACAGAGUCAAUGUGGAGGCUAUAUACAGGGUACUACGGUACAGAGUUAUUGUGGAGGCUAUAUACAGGGUAUUACGGUACAGAGUCAAUGUGGAGACUAUAUGGAGGGUAUUACAGUACAGAGUCAAUGUGGAGGCUAUAUACAGGGGGUACCUGUACAGAGUCAAUGUGGAGGCUAUAUACAGGGGGUACCGGUACAGAGUCAAUGUGGAGACUAUAUACAGGGGGUACCGGUACAGAGUCAAUGUGGAGGCUAUAUACAGGGGGUAUCGGUACAGAGUCAAUGUGGAGGCUAUAUACAGGGGGUACUGGUACAGAGUCAAUGUGGAGACUAUAUACAGGGAGUACCGGUACAGAGUCAAUGUGGAGGCUAUAUACAGGGGGUACCGGUACAGAGUCAAUGUGGAGGCUAUAUACAGGGGGUACCUGUACAGAGUCAAUGUGGAGACUAUAUACAGGGGGUACCGGUACAGAGUCAAUGUGGAGGCUAUAUACAGGGGGUACCGGUACAGAGUCAAUGUGGAGGCUAUAUACAGGGGGUACCGGUACAGAGUCAAUGUGGAGGCUAUAUACAGGGGGUACCGGUACAGAGUCAAUGUGGAGGCUAUAUACAGGAUGUACCGGUACAGAGUCAAUGUGGAGGCUAUAUACAGGGGGUACCGGUACAGAGUUAAUGUGCAGGGGAAUUAUUAAGUGA